rnacentral:lncRNA from 1 species
UUGAUCCAGUUUCGAUAUAUCCAGAAUCCAGCUGUAUAGCCUGUAUCGAACAUGCAUCGGACCAUAUCGUUUGGAGAUGUGGGAUCACCCAAUCCAUGUACGAUCAGGCCCCGGGUUCUUGUGAUUGUCUGCUGACUCUCCGUCAGCUUGUAUUCGGCAACCAUAUUGCUUGAGUACUCAAGCUCAAACAUCUUGUCUUGGAUGAUAUGGAGAUCCUUCUGAGGCUAUGCCACAUGAUCAGCAGAAUAUUUUCUUGCCUUUUUGGCAGCAGCCUCUGACGACUCUAGUUUCGAGAUCCUAUCCUGAGACCAAUGGAGUUGGAGGUCCUACUGUCUGAUAAUAGCACCCUAAGGGGCAUCCUCUAUGAGCUUGGAUAGCCUUGCAGACUCAGCCAUCAGUCGAACUUUUUCAACAGAAUAUGUCACAAGACUCCGACGGUUGAUCAUCCUCAACCAAUCGACUUUUGUCGAGGCCUUGUCUAGAACUUUUCUGGUCUUCAAUAGUUCCUUCCUUCGGACAGUAGCCUUCUUAUUUAAUUUGUUAACACUCCUUUCAAGAUCACCAAUAUGGGACUUGAUCCUUGCAAUAGAUGCUGCUGAUAAAUCCUCGACAUCAGGAAUUGAAGGGGGACAUUCGAUGAGAGCACACGGACAUAACUAGACAAGUGAAGGAAAAUAUAAAAAAGAUGAAAUAUCAUUUCAUCGAUGAUAACUUUUCUACAAAGAAAUAAGAAAGAGAAUAAGCUACAAGCAAUAUUUAUUUUCCAACCUCACCUUGAAGAUCAGAAGAGUCAGAUGUGACUCCUGAAGGACCUAGGGAUGCUU